rnacentral:rRNA from 1 species
GACGAACGUUGGCGGCGUGCUUAACACAUGCAAGUCGAACGGAAAGGCCCUGCUUUUGUGGGGUGCUCGAGUGGCGAACGGGUGAGUAACACGUGAGUAACCUGCCCUUGACUUUGGGAUAACUUCAGGAAACUGGGGCUAAUACCGGAUAGGAGCUCCUGCAGCAUGGUGGGGGUUGGAAAGUUUCGGCGGUUGGGGAUGGACUCGCGGCUUAUCAGCUUGUUGGUGGGGUAGUGGCUUACCAAGGCUUUGACGGGUAGCCGGCCUGAGAGGGUGACCGGCCACAUUGGGACUGAGAGACGGCCCAGACGCCUACGGGAGGCAGCAGUGGGGAAUAUUGCACAAUGGGCGGAAGCCUGAUGCAGCAACGCCGCGUGCGGGAUGACGGCCUUCGGGUUGUAAACCGCUUUCGCCUGUGACGAAGCGUGAGUGACGGUAAUGGGUAAAGAAGCACCGGCUAACUACGUG